GUGCUGAUUUCAGCAGCACAUGAACUAAAAUUGGAACAAUACAAAGGAGAUUGGCAUGGCCCCUGCACGAGGAUGGCAUGCAAAUUCAUGAAGUGGUCCAUAUUUUU
rnacentral:snRNA from 1 species